GAUAUUGACUGUAGUUCUGAGCUUUGUCUCUAUCCCACCAAACCACUAACUUCUGGAAAUUACUUGUAGACCAAGAUGGGAGGACUCCGUGUGUGGCUCCGUCUGUGUCUCCUCUUGGUCUUCACAGCUCUCUUCAUGUGACAAAGAAACUUCCUAAAAUACUAAAAGCUAAAGGAGAUUGUUAUCUAAGCUUGAGAUGGAAGGUUGCCAGCGGAAACUUGGAGGAUCACAGCCAGUCGCCUGGGAUUGACCACAGGGAGUGGCAGAGGCAGAAAGCAAAAGACCAGUUGCAAUUAUCCAGGUAAAAGAUGGAGGCUGUUGCAAUAAUCCAGAAUCCUGAAUUGAGCCUGUGUUCCCAGUUCCUAGAAACCCUCAAGGUUAUUGGUUUCCUCCUCGCUUAAUAGACCAGUGGAAGAAAUCUACCUCCAGUUCUAUCUUCACAUGAGCAACUGUUUACAGUUUACAAUAUUACUCUGAAAAUCAGUUCUUUUCAAGUUUUAUCUAACACCCACCAGAAGAAACAGAAGAUUAUGAAAAUGGAAUUUGUCAAAGUUCCUCUCCCAACAAUAUGAUAUUUAAUUUUGCUAACAUUUUUUUUUGAACACUUACUAUAUUGCAGACAAUGGUCUAAGUAAAGCAUUUUAUGUGCAUCCUAUCAUGUCAUCAUCACACAGCCCUGUGAGGUAGAUACUAUUAUUAUUAACCACAUUUCACAUUCAAAAAAACUGAGGCUUAGAGAGACUAAGUAAAUUGUCCAAGGUCACACAGCCAUGAAGUGGCAGAGCUGUGGUUAAAACCUAUGUCUGUCUGAUGUUUAAGAUUUUGCUGUUAGCAUUACUUUGAAAUGACAAUAUGAGGGCAUUUUAUGUAUUUUUUUUGCCCCAAUAUGAUCUGCAGAAACUAUGUAUUUUAAGUACUACAUUUCUUUUAUUUACCAAAUUAUUGUCAGAUAAGAAACCGAAAUAAAAGUUUACAGGGUCUAGGAUUCCUCCAUAAUGAAUGAACUUUGGGGUAUUUCAGUGACAAAUUGGCUUUAACGCGAUCAAAUUCCAUCCUACAAUGAAAGUGUGUUAGUUUGUGGUUUCAAGUUUAAAAACAGCACUGUAUUGUCUUCCAGAAAUAUAUAAAUAGAAAUUCAAGAAGUAUUUCAAUGAAUACAGAUAAAAUUAGUUUUGUUAGAACAUCAAAUAUGUGGGUUUCAUUUCUUAGCUCAGUUUAGAAACUGUAAUUUCAAUUUUUUUUAGCAGCUGUGGUAAAUUUUGAGAUUUGAAAUUUCAUAUAAUAUAAAUCCUCAUUUAUUGAGCAUUUAAAUUAUAUGCCCAACAA
rnacentral:lncRNA from 1 species